AGCUGAGGCCCCCCUAAAACCUAAUUGACAAACCCGAACCUUAAACCCAUCCUUGGAGUGGAAUCGUCGAGGUCGCGACAGAGCAGAGGUCGUGGUAAUCGAAUUCCGGCAAUCUGGUUUCGUAGUGAGUAUCGGAUUUUAGACAGAAGAUUGGAGGUGUGACGGAGAGGAAGAUUCCGAUGGCGAGCGAGGAAAACUAAAUUGGGCACGGCGUGCGAGAAACGAACCAAGUCUGAUCGAUUAAGUCCAGUAAGCAGAUCAUCUUCAUGCCUCAAAGUGCUGCCGUCAGCUGCGCCUCACCUUGCCCGAUCAGAUCUCCACCUCUCCCGACAAGAGCAAGGGAUAGGGGCUACACCGACUGCGGGCAAGUAUUACAUACCUUGUAUCUAUAGUCUUGAAUUUCCUUGUAGAUCUUUCAGUCUUAAAUUUCUGGCUAAAAGUUUAUCCUAACUUCAACUCGAUCAAGAAAAUGGUUACGACUGGGGAAAUGUAAACGUAGAAGGUUGUUGCCAGAUAAUCUGGAGAUUAAUCUGCUGGAAGUACAAUGGAGGUUUUGGCGUUUUGCUGAUAUGGGACCAACCAUUAAGGCAAAUACAACCUUAUAUAUAGAGGCUGCAAUUUCAGCAUUAUCAAGGGGUUAAGCAAACUGCACCUAAAGGGCAUCUUCAGGAAUGCUGGACCACAUUAUUGUGAAACAAGUGUUUGAAGCUACCCUUGAAGCAGAUAGCGGCUGUUUCAGUCAUGGAUUCACCUUACCAACUAAUCCGUUUGAUCCAAAUGCAAAGAAGCAAACUGCUGGAGGUUAAAAGGUGGUAGUUUGCGUAUGUAACUUGAUUGCUGGAAGACCCCACUCCCUGCUGAAUUCGUUUUUGCAGAAGAGUCUUAGUUUAAUCACUAUUUGUUAAAACAAUUUUAUUCCUUUCAAAAAUAUAUGCAAUGUCAUUGUAUAAUAUAAUAAAGUAAGCUCAUGUUAAGGAUUUAAAAUAUUUAAGCAGACAAUAAGGUCUUAGUUUUUAGUGUAGAAAUUGCAAUUCAAAAUGCUCAGUAUGUUGUCUUUUUAAAGAGAGUUGCAGAAAACGGGAUUCUGAUGUUGUGUUGUGUGUGAAAUUGAAGUUCUCGCCAUUGAUA